rnacentral:lncRNA from 1 species
CUACAGUGCUACUGGCCCAUAAUCAGGCAACUGCAGAGUCUUAGGGGGUUAUCUAAUGUAGUCUUGGGGUGGCUGGAUAGACUUCCCAAAGAAGGUGAUGCCGAAGCUGAGGUCGGAAAUUACGAAGAUCAGCUAUCAAACUUGGAAAUCAUGUCUUAGAGAUCAAGGAGCCAAGAGAUGAGACAAGCCUGGGUUCCUAGGUGAUAGGGUGUGGCUGUGUCCCCACCCAAAUCUCGUCUUGAAUUGUAGCUCCCAUAAUCCCCACAUGUUGUGGAGGGACCCUGUGGAAGGCUACACAGAAGCACUGCUGAUUUCAGCCCUGGCAGGACUCCUGUUUAAACAUACUUCCCAGAAAUCUUGGGCAGCUUGCCAUGGCAUUGUGUUAAGAAAAGGAUUGGUAGACAGAGAGAUGCACUGUUGAGAUUACCCUUCAGGAAGGACUUGCUACCGACUACAGGGGACAGGAAUCAGCAGACAUCCUCCAGCCAUCAGCUUCUUCAGGAUCUACCUCAGCGUCAAGGAACCACCUGACCUGAGGUCUCAUUCUUCCUUGGGCAGACUACAUCUUAUAACAAAGUGAGCAUCUACUUGUUUCCAAAGUUAUUUGGGUCAGCAUUUUCCUCCACCCACCACUUAAAACUGAUUUGUUUCAUACAUUUGAAAUGUAUGAAAAGCCAGAAAUCCAGGACCCACCCUGGCCUGCUCCCUUUUUCUCACCUACUGUGUUAAGGAUAAGUCAAUUGAGCUUCACUUCUCUAAUUGAAAUCACCGUGCUGAUGGAGUCUGUCUGUGGAAAUGAAAGGUGGCUACCAUAAUCUGUUGGGAGUUGAAUUAAUCCUCUGGGAGUGAGGCUGACCUAAUUACUCAGAAAUACUGGGCUUGCUUUCAUUCUGUGGAAUACAGCCAUGAGAAAGAGGCCAGCAUGCCAUUUCCUAAUCUUUUCUUGAAUUGCCUGAAACUCACCUAACAUGAAACUGAGAAGCCUUUUCAUUUGAAAGUGGUAUUUCUUAUGUUUUUUAUCUUUUUGCUUGAAAGUAUUCUUAAACUAAAGAAAGGAGAAACAGAAAAGGUGAAGAAGCCAAGAGGCUGGAGUUUCCUUUUGAAUGGAUAUUCAUCCAUGAAGCUGUUGAUUCUGUUUUUCUGUUCCUCCAGAUGUCUACACUUUUACCUCUGCUUGCCUGAUACAACCACCACCAGUCACCUCACAGAAUAACUCACUCCUUAAGAAUCUGAUCAGGAAUCAGCCUUCCCUGAUCACAAACACUGAGUUUAGAAGUCCCUCCACAGUGUCCCCCGUAACCCUGUGCUACCUCACUGCCUCAUAGUUUAGUGCCGUUUGUGUACAUGCCUAUCUUCGUCCAUGGAUCCAGAACAACUUGUAAAAAUGACUGUACUUAUCACCUUCAGUAUUCAAUGACUAAACUAUAAUUUUAACAUAUCUGGCAGAAUGAAUCACUUGGGGAUUUCUGCCAACACUACCAAUAUAUUACUCCUAAUUUGUAAUUAUUACUUAGCAUGGAUUAUAGUACCGGCUGUUGGAGAGCCAAUGUGGCAGACCCUAAGUGGAAUAAAAUGUCAGUAGCAGUCUAGGAGCAUAUAUUUAUUGGAAUAGAUCAUUCAUUCAUUUGUUCAUUAACUAAUUUGUUCAUUAAAUAAACAUUUAUUAAGCAC